AACCCAUGUUAGGAUAUUUUUGUAGGAGUUCCUUGAACCUUUCUCAUGUCUCAAAUAGAUACUCCAAUUCCAUUUGUACGAAGGAAGAAAUCUCAUUUCUAAGCUC